rnacentral:lncRNA from 1 species
GGGAGGGGAGAGGGGCUAGAGAUUAUGUUCAAUCACCAACUGUCAAUGAUUUAAUCAAUCAUGCUUAUGUAAUGAAACUUCUACGAAAACCCAAAAGGACUGGGUUCAGAGAGCUUUUGGGUUGGUGGACACAUAGAGAGUGGGGAGAGUGGUGUACCCGCAGAGGGCAUGGAAGCUUCACACCCUUUCCCCAUACCUUGCGCUAUGCAUCUCCUUCAUCUGGCUGUUCCUGAGUUGUAUCCUUUCAUAAGAAACCAGUGCUCUAGUCCUUUGUAUUUGCUCUUCAAGAUUCCUGCAAAGCAAUCAUCUCAAGUAUGUUAGUGAACGAUUUCUACUCAGCAGUGUGGUCUCUGCUCCACCCAACCAGGUCGCUGGACAACAAUGCUUUGUGACCACUAUUCUAAGGCACUUCCUAAUAACUGCUGUGCCCAAGGGUAAAAGAAAAUGACUGAUUAAAGAACUCCAGUACAGGCAUAAUAGCAAGAGAGAUAGACUCUUCAGGAACAGAGCUUCUGAUCUCCUCUACCCCCAAAUAAACAACUCCGGCCAUUUGAAAAACUAAUGAAACACAGGAAGUACACUGGUAAAAAGAAGAUAAAAUAUUAAUGAUGACCUCCUGCAUAAAUGAGGACUGUAGCAGUGAUCUGCCCAUCUUUCCGUCCCACCCUCCACCACCAUAUAAAAAGAUGGUAUGCUAUUGAUUGUGUGAUGAUCUUUAAACUGCAAUAAUGAUAAUCACUCACAGAUGGCUAAAGUAAAUAAAACAAUAUUUGGAUAUCUUUUGGGAAAAUGUUUAAUGCAUGUGCAUAUGCUAGGAGUAAGUGAAAUACAUUAUGUGGAAACAGCUGUUGUUUCUCUUAUUAUUGGAAUUUUUCUAUAUAUGUAGAAUGCUAUACGGAUGUUCAGCAGGAAACCUGUGUAAGACAUGGCUUAUUAAUUCUCAACAUCCAUUCUUACCCCCUCUUAGUGUGUCUUCUUGAACUGUAGAGAUGGAAAAGCUCAAAACUACCUCCUUAGGUUUCAUCUGGAUAGGAAUUACAUUCUAGAAUAAGAAGCAUUUGUUUGAUAUACAGAAGAAAUGUUCAAGAAGCAAGCCAGCUUUUCAGUGUCUAGUUCCUAGUUCAUUUGCAAGCAGUAGUUGAGGCUGUGAUCCUCAGAUCAUAGCAAUAACCAUUUGUCCUUUUGCAUUUUUAAAAACAUUUUUAAGACUUUAUUUUUGGAGGGCAGUUUUAGGUUAACAACAAAAUUGAGAGGAAGUUGCAGAGAUUUCUCUUACACCUCUUGCCCCUACACAUGCAGAGCCUCCCCUCUUAUCAACAUUACUCACCAGAAUGGUACAUUUGCUACUAAGGAUGAACCUACAUUGACACAUCAUAAUCACCCAAAGUCCAUAGUUUACCUUGGGGUUCACUCUUGGUGUUGUACCUUCUAUAGACUUGAACAAAAGAAUAAUGACAUGGAUCCAUCAUUAUAAU